rnacentral:rRNA from 1 species
AUUGAACGCUGGCGGCAUGCCUUACACAUGCAAGUCGAACGGCAGCACGGGAGCAAUCCUGGUGGCGAGUGGCGAACGGGUGAGUAAUAUAUCGGAACGUGCCCGGUCGGGGGGAUAACGUAGCGAAAGCUACGCUAAUACCGCAUACGAUCUACGGAUGAAAGCGGGGGAUCGCAAGACCUCGCGCGAUUGGAGCGGCCGAUAUCAGAUUAGGUAGUUGGUGAGGUAAAGGCUCACCAAGCCGACGAUCUGUAGCUGGUCUGAGAGGACGACCAGCCACACUGGGACUGAGACACGGCCCAGACUCCUACGGGAGCAGCAGUGGGGAAUAUUGGACAAUGGGCGAAAGCCUGAUCCAGCCAUGCCGCGUGUGUGAAGAAGG